rnacentral:ncRNA from 1 species
GUGCCGGGGGAGCCCGCAAAAACCGGGCUGAGACUGUGCCGAAGGGCACUGACCCCUAAAACCUGACCGGGUUAACACCUGCGUAGGGAGCU